rfam:Asian citrus Psyllid, Diaphorina citri - Florida Strain, whole genome shotgun sequence.
GCCUAGUUAGCUUUGGGGGUAGAGCGUUUGCCUUGUAAGCGGUAGGUCGCAAGUUCGAUUCCUCCCCGGGGCA